GAAUAUUGCACAAUGGAGGAAACUCUGAUGCAGCGACGCCGCGUGAACGAUGAAGGCUUUCGAGUCGUAAGGUUCUGUCCUUGGGGAAGAUAAUGACGGUACCCGAGGAGGAAGCCCCGGCUAACUACGUGCCAGCACCCGCGGUAAUACGUAGGGGGCGAGCGGUGUCCGGAUUUAUUGGGCGUAAAGGGUUCGCAGGCGGCCUUUUAAGUCAGAUGUGAAAGAUCACGGCUCAACCGUGGUAAGCAUUUGAAACUGGAAGGCUUGAGUUAAGGAGAGGAAAGUGGAAUUCCUAGUGUAGCGGUGAAAUGCGUAGAUAUUAGGAGGAAUACCAGUGGCGAAGGCGACUUUCUGGACUUAUACUGACGCUGAGGAACGAAAGCGUGGGGAGCAAACAGG
rnacentral:rRNA from 1 species